rnacentral:rRNA from 1 species
ACCAGACUCCUACGGGAGGCAGCAGUGAGGAAUAUUGGUCAAUGGGCUAAGGCCUGAACCAGCCAAGUCGCGUGAGGGAAGACGGUCCUAUGGAUUGUAAACCUCUUUUGUCGGGGAGCAACGAGGCCACGUGUGGCCGAAGUGAGAGUACCCGAAGAAAAAGCAUCGGCUAACUCCGUGCCAGCAGCCGCGGUAAUACGGAGGAUGCGAGCGUUAUCCGGAUUUAUUGGGUUUAAAGGGUGCGUAGGCGGAACAUAAAGGCGGGGAAAAAUGGGGGGGGCCAACCCCCGGCCCGCCGUUGAAACUGGCAGUCUCGAGUUGGAGAGAAGUAUGCGGAAUGCGCGGUGUAGCGGUGAAAUGCAUAGAUAUCGCGCAGAACUCCGAUUGCGAAGGCAGCAUGCCGGCUCCACACUGACGCUGAGGCACGAAAGCGUGGGUAUCGAACAGGAUUAGAUACCCCUGUA